rnacentral:rRNA from 1 species
CCUACGGGAGGCAGCAGUGGGGAAUAUUGGGCAAUGGAGGAAACUCUGAUCCAGCGACGCCGCGUGAAUGAUGAAGGUCUUCGGAUUGUAAAGUUCUUUUCUAAGGGAAGAAGAAAGUGACGGUACCUUAGGAAUAAGCCUCGGCUAACUACGUGCCAGCAGCCGCGGUAAUACGUAGGAGGCGAGCGUUAUCCGGAAUGACUGGGUGUAAAGGGGGCGUAGGGGGUUUGGCAAGUUAGUAGCGAAACUCCAGGGCUCAACCUUGGAACUACUCUUAAAACUGUGGGACUUGAGUGCAGGAGAGGCAACCGGAAUUCCUAGUGUAGCGGUGGAAUGCGUAGAUAUUAGGAGGAACACCAGUGGCGAAGGCGGCUUGCUGGACUGUAACUGACGCUGAGGCACGAAAGCGUGGGGAGCAAACAGGAUUAGAUACCCCUGUAGUC